UACGAAGGACCCGAGCGUUAUCCGGAUUUAUUGGGUUUAAAGGGUGCGUAGGCGGAUUAGUAAGUCAGUGGUGAAAGCCCAUCGCUUAACGGUGGAACUGCCAUUGAUACUGCUAGUCUUGAGUAUGGUUGAGGUGGGCGGAAUGUGUCAUGUAGCGGUGAAAAUGCUUAGAUAUGACACAGAACACCAAUUGCGAAAGGCAGCUCGCUAAACCAUAAACUGACGCUGAUGCACGAAAAGCGUGGGGGAGCAAACAGG
rnacentral:rRNA from 1 species